ACGGGUGAGUAACACGUGGGUAACCCCCCUUUAAGUGGGGGAUAACAUUUGGAAACAGAUGCUAAUACCGCAUAGAUCCAAGAACCGCAUGGUUCUUGGCUGAAAGAUGGCGUAAGCUAUCGCUUUUGGAUGGACCCGCGGCGUAUUAGCUAGUUGGUGAGGUAACGGCUCACCAAGGCGAUGAUACGUAGCCGAACUGAGAGGUUGAUCGGCCACAUUGGGACUGAGACACGGCCCAAACUCCUACGGGAGGCAGCAGUAGGGAAUCUUCCACAAUGGACGCAAGUCUGAUGGAGCAACGCCGCGUGAGUGAAGAAGGCUUUCGGGUCGUAAAACUCUGUUGUUGGAGAAGAAUGGUCGGCAGAGUAACUGUUGUCGGCGUGACGGUAUCCAACCAGAAAGCCACGGCUAACUACGUGCCAGCAGCCGCGGUAAUACGUAGGUGGCAAGCGUUAUCCGGAUUUAUUGGGCGUAAAGCGAGCGCAGGCGGUUUUUUAAGUCUGAUGUGAAAGCCCUCGGCUUAACCGAGGAAGCGCAUCGGAAACUGGGAAACUUGAGUGCAGAAGAGGACAGUGGAACUCCAUGUGUAGCGGUGAAAUGCGUAGAUAUAUGGAAGAACACCAGUGGCGAAGGCGGCUGUCUGGUCUGUAACUGACGCUGAGGCUCGAAAGCAUGGGUAGCGAACAGGAU
rnacentral:rRNA from 1 species